AUGGGGUGCAGGAUCAGGGUGGUUUCAGGGGUCAAGAAGCCAUCGACCUCGCCGGAAAAUUGCUCUUCCCUCCUCCCGGAUGCCUCGGGCGCUGCUACGCCAGGCGCCGAAUCCCUCGGCCAUCGCUGCGCCAGGGGACGGAUCCGUGCUCUCUCCCCUGCUGCUGCCAAACUCCUCCCACCGGCCGUGACUACGUGCGCGGGCGUCAGGGAGGUUCAUACCACGGACAUGGCUCCCGUGCAGUGCGCCUCUGCUCUUCAAAGUUGUGGAGACGCGCAUGACAGCUCUGUCUCCCUUUUGCAGUGCACACAGCUCCUUUAUCCUCCCCCUCUCCCCUUCCCCGAUGUUCCACUAGCGACACCCGUCGAGAGAAGACGACCAUCAAAAACAAAGGAGUUGGCUGUGAUGCGGACGACGACGCAUCCCGGCACGGUUCUGCUUGGCACGCGAUGGGUUUGGGCACGUGGACGAGAUUUUGUUUACAAAAGCAGUUCAUCUCAAGUUGUGUUGCGGCUCAUUUUACUCGACCAUGCGGUUCGCUAUUCUUGA
rnacentral:rRNA from 1 species